rnacentral:rRNA from 1 species
GACAGAGGGUGCAAACGUUGUUCGGAAUUACUGGGCGUAAAGCGCGUGUAGGCUGUUUUGCAAGUCGGAUGUGAAAGCCCUGGGCUCAACCUAGGAAGUGCACUCGAAACUGCAGAACUGGAGUCCUGGAGAGGAAGGCGGAAUUCUCGGUGUAGAGGUGAAAUUCGUAGAUAUCGAGAGGAACACCGGUGGCGAAGGCGGCCUUCUGGACAGUGACGUGACGCUGAGACGGCGAAAGCGUGGGGAGCAAACAGGGAUUAAGAAACCCCAG